CCUACGGGUGGCAGCAGUGGGGAAUAUUGCACAAUGGGGGAAACCCUGAUGCAGCGACGCCGCGUGAGCGAUGAAGUAUUUCGGUAUGUAAAGCUCUAUCAGCAGGGAAGAAAAUGACGGUACCUGACUAAGAAGCCCCGGCUAACUACGUGCCAGCAGCCGCGGUAAGACGGAGGGGGCAAGCGUUAUCCGGCAUGACUGGGUGGAACGGGAGCGUAGACGGCUGGGCAAGCCAGGUGUGAAAGCCCGGGGCUCAACCCCGGGACUGCAUUUGGAACUGUGUGGCUGGAGUGUCGGAGAGGCAGGCGGAAUUCCUAGUGUAGCGGUGAAAUGCGUAGAUAUUAGGAGGAACACCAGUGGCGAAGGCGGCCUGCUGGACGAUGACUGACGUUGAGGCGCGAAAGCGUGGGGAGCAAACAGGAUUAGAUACCCUGGUAGUC
rnacentral:rRNA from 1 species